AAUAGACCAACCUUGGACUAAUGUCUCCAGCUCUACUCCUUUAACAAGCAAGCCGUUACAAGUUCACUAACUUCCUUUAUGAAGGACAAUGACACAACACACCUCAACGCUGUGUAAAGGCUAUUUAACCAAGAAGGAGAGUGAUGGAGUGCUGCAUCAGAUGACCUGGCCUCCCCAAUCACCCGACCUCAACCCGAUUGAGAUGGUUUGGGAUGAGUUGGACCGCAGAGUAAAGGAAAAGCAGCCAACAAGUGCUCAGCAUAUGUGGAAACUCCUUCAAGACUGUUGGAAAAGCAUUCCAGAUUCCUGGUAUUCCAGCUGGAAUCAGACAGGACUGUGCAGUUUUUCCUGCUAAUAAGGAACGCCAGGAAUCAGUUUUAUCCCACAAACCCCAGAAUUUUUAAUUAAAGAGAAAAUCCAGAGCAGCAGAAGAGAAUGUAAGGAUGUAAUCAAUAAUUCAUUACUACGCUUUACUGGACAAAUCACACACUGUGAUGACUGUGAUAUGUUGUUGUUUAACUACCUUAGUUGAGCAAGUCAUUCUGGAUAAGCGUGUCUGCUAAAUGACCAAAAUGUAAAUUUAUAUGUGAAAAUUAAUAUACAUAAGUGAACUGCAAAGCACAACUGGAGCAGAGCUCAUUAGAAUAAUACUCAGCAUGUUUUGCAAUUUUUCAUUUUGACAUAUACAUUUGUAUUUAGUUCAUUUAGCAGACACUUUUAUCACACCAUAGUGCUAUCAGACUUUUGAUACCAAUGCAGGAUGAAAGAGGUCCAGAAAUGUGAACCAAAAUAAUAAAAUGACAGUAUUUUGAAAAUUCAAAUUACAGUAUUUUGAAAAUUCAAAUUACAGUAUUUUGAAAAUUCAAAUUACAGUAUUUUCAAAAUACAAAUUACAGUGUUUUGAAAAUAUACAAAAUACAUUGGAGUAUUGUUUAAAAAAGCUCAGAAGUCAUUAAAAUACGUAUUUCAAAUACAUGUAACAGAAAUACUGCCCAUCUCUGCACCUACCUAAACAUACAUUGUUUGUGAGAUCAGAUAUAAUCUGAUUGUUAAUUUGUUGAAAUUUCUACUUUUUUCAAUUUCACAAAGAAUUUGCACCCGUCAAAAUAAAAUGUUCU